rnacentral:tRNA from 1 species
GCGAUCGUAGCUCAGUCGGUUAGAGCACUGGUUUGUGGUUCCAGGGGUCGUGGGUUCGAUUCCCAUCGUUCGCCCA